AGUGAACGCUGGCGGUAGGCCUAACACAUGCAAGUAGAACGGCAGCACAGUAAGAGCUUGCUCUUACGGGUGGCGAGUGGCGGACGGGUGAGGAAUACAUCGGAAUCUACUUUUUCGUGGGGGAUAACGUAGGGAAACUUACGCUAAUACCGCAUACGACCUACGGGUGAAAGCAGGGGAUCUUCGGACCUUGCGCGAUUGAAUGAGCCGAUGUCGGAUUAGCUAGUUGGCGGGGUAAAGGCCCACCAAGGCGACGAUCCGUAGCUGGUCUGAGAGGAUGAUCAGCCACACUGGAACUGAGACACGGUCCAGACUCCUACGGGAGGCAGCAGUGGGGAAUAUUGGACAAUGGGCGCAAGCCUGAUCCAGCCGUACCGCGUGGGUGAAGAAGGCCUUCGGGUUGUAAAGCCCUUUUGUUGGGAAAGAAAAGCAGCAGGUUAAUACCCCGCUGUUCUGACGGUACCCAAAGAAUAAGCACCGGCUAACUUCGUG
rnacentral:rRNA from 1 species